rnacentral:rRNA from 1 species
UAUUAUAAAUUAAUUUACUCUGAAUAAAUUCAUUAAAUUAUAUUUAUCCAAAAAAUGAAAUUUCUAAUAUUAAUAAUAUAUUAAUAUAUCAUAAAAUAGUCAAAAACCAGGAUUAGAUACCCUGUUAUUCUAAAAAUAAAUAAUAUUUCAAAGAAAAAAAACAAAAUAAAUUUGACGGUAUUAACUUUUACAAAGGAAUUUGCUUCUAUUAAUCGUCAACCCACGACUUACCUUACUUAAUAUAUAUCUGUAUACCACCGUAUAAGAAAUUAUCAAAAAUUAAUUUCAUUAAAAAUAAAUUUAAAAAAUCAGGUCAAGGUGCAAUUUUAUUAAGAUGAAAUGAAUUACAUUAAUAUUAUAUUUACCUAUUUAAACUGAAAUACUUUUAAAAACAGAAUUUGUUAGUAAAAUCUAAUCAUCAUGUUUAAUUGAAAACAAUUAUUAAUACG